UACAGAGGUCUCAAGCGUUGUUCGGAUUCAUUGGGCGUAAAGGGUGCGUAGGUGGCGGGGUAAGUCAGGUGUGAAAUUUCGGAGCUCAACUCCGAAACUGCAUUUGAUACUGCCUUGCUUGAGGACUGGAAAGGAGACUGGAAUUCACGGUGUAGCAGUGAAAUGCGUAGAUAUCGUGAGGAAGACCAGUGGCGAAGGCGGGUCUCUGGACAGUUCCUGACACUGAGGCACGAAGGCCAGGGGAGCAAACGGG
rnacentral:rRNA from 1 species